rnacentral:tRNA from 1 species
GCGGCGCUGCCGGAGGACCUGGCGCCGCUGCUGGCGGAGCACGUGGUGCCGGCGCUGCGCCGGCGUGCCGCGCC